AAUUAAGUAAGCUAUACUACUAAGCUUUUAGGUUCAUACCCUAAAUAAAGAUUAUUUUUUUCUCUUAAUUA
rnacentral:tRNA from 1 species